CCUACGGGAGGCAGCAGUAGGGAAUCUUCCGCAAUGGACGAAAGUCUGAUGCAGCCAUGCCGCGUGUAUGAAGAAGGCCUUCGGGUUGUAAAGUACUUUCAGCGGGGAGGAAGGCGAUAAGGUUAAUAACCUUGUCGAUUGACGUUACCCGCAGAAGAAGCACCGGCUAACUCCGUGCCAGCAGCCGCGGUAAU
rnacentral:rRNA from 1 species